rnacentral:tRNA from 1 species
GCCGGGGUGGUGGAAUGGUAGACACGCUAGUCUUAGGAACUAGUGAGGUAACACUCGUGGAGGUUCGAAUCCUCUCCCCGGCACCA